CCUACGGGUGGCAGCAGUGGGGAAUAUUGGGCAAUGGGGGAAACCCUGACCCAGCAACGCCGCGUGAAGGAAGAAGGUUUUCGGAUUGUAAACUUCUGUCCCAUGGGAUGAAGGAAGUGACGGUACCAUGGGAGGAAGCCCCGGCUAACUACGUGCCAGCAGCCGCGGUAAUACGUAGGGGGCAAGCGUUGUCCGGAAUUAUUGGGCGUAAAGGGUGCGUAGGCGGCCUUACAAGUUGGAUGUGAAAUCCCCGUGCUUAACAUGGGAACUGCAUCCAAAACUGUAGGGCUUGAGUGUGGAAGAGGUAAGUGGAAUUCCCAGUGUAGCGGUGAAAUGCGUAGAUAUUGGGAGGAACACCAGUGGCGAAGGCGACUUACUGGGCCACAACUGACGCUGAGGCACGAAAGCGUGGGGAGCAAACAGGAUUAGAUACCCCGGUAGUC
rnacentral:rRNA from 1 species